rnacentral:rRNA from 1 species
CAGCAGCCGCGGUAAUACGAAGGGUGCAAGCGUUACUCGGAAUUACUGGGCGUAAAGCGUGCGCAGGCGGUUUGUUAAGACAGAUGUGAAAUCCCCGGGCUCAACCUGGGAACUGCAUUUGUGACUGGCAAGCUAGAGUGUGGCAGAGGGGGGUGGAAUUCCGCGUGUAGCAGUGAAAUGCGUAGAUAUGCGGAGGAACACCGAUGGCGAAGGCAGCCCCCUGGGCCAACACUGACGCUCAUGCACGAAAGCGUGGGGAGCAAACAGGAUUAGAUACCCCAGUAGUCCCUGUCUCUUAUAC